GGCGCCGGACGACCGGCGCCUGUUCUUGCCCGGCAGGACGACCUG
rnacentral:ncRNA from 1 species